rnacentral:tRNA from 1 species
GGGCUAUUAGCUCAGUUGGUAGAGCGUUCCCCUGAUAAGGGAAAGGUCGUUGGUUCGAGUCCAAUAUAGCCCAC